rnacentral:rRNA from 1 species
UACGUAGGGUGCAAGCGUUAAUCGGAAUUACUGGGCGUAAAGCGUGCGCAGGCGGUUUUGUAAGUCUGACGUGAAAUCCCCGGGCUCAACCUGGGAAUUGCGUUGGAGACUGCAAGGCUGGAGUCUGGCAGAGGGGGGUAGAAUUCCCGGUGUAGCGGUGAAAUGCGUAGAGAUCGGGAGGAACAUCAGUGGCGAAGGCGGCCAUCUGGGACAACACUGACGCUGAAGCACGAAAGCGUGGGGAGCAAACAGG